rnacentral:lncRNA from 1 species
UGGUCUUUCGCGAUGUUUUGUUUUGAGAAACAAGCGUUGGGUAGGCGAGGAUAAAAAAGUGCAAUACUGGACGCAUUUUUAAAUUUAAAAAUGCUCCUUGCACUUUUGCUCUGGCUUGUCCUUUGCUCAGGCGGUGUCUUAGAGUAGAGCUGUGAGGUGUGUGUGGCACUGGGGUCAAAACAGGUUUGACUGCUAAACUGGCACUGGAGCGGCGGAGCCUUCAGGGGAGGGCCCGGGCCAGGCGACAGGAGAUCACCUGCGGGGCCGGCGCCACGCUGCAGCACCCGGCGAGCCGCGCCUGCUCCCACGUGGACGGAGAUCAGAUCUUGCUGGGAGGUGGCGCCGCGUUGAUGGGGUGCCCCGGUGGGAAUGCGAGCUGUGGCCCAGCCCUUCAGGUCUCAUUGGUUGUGGAUGGGAUCGAGCGCUGUUGGGCGGAGGUAGCUUUUGGCGGUGCCA